rnacentral:rRNA from 1 species
GACGAACGCUGGCGGCGUGCUUAACACAUGCAAGUCGAACGGGAAGACAUGAAGAGCUUGCUCUUUAUGAAAUCCAGUGGCAAACGGGUGAGUAACACGUAAACAACCUGCCUUCAGGAUGGGGACAACAGACGGAAACGACUGCUAAUACCGAAUACGAUUCUUGAGUCGCAUGACACAAGAAAGAAAGGGUGGCCUCUACAAGUAAGCUAUCGCCUGAAGAGGGGUUUGCGUCCGAUUAGGUAGUUGGUGAGGUAACGGCCCACCAAGCCGACGAUCGGUAGCCGGUCUGAGAGGAUGAACGGCCACAUUGGAACUGAGACACGGUCCAGACUCCUACGGGAGGCAGCAGUGGGGAAUCUUCCGCAAUGGGCGAAAGCCUGACGGAGCAACGCCGCGUGAGUGAAGACGGCCUUCGGGUUGUAAAACUCUGUGAUUCGGGACGAAAGAUAAGCAGACGAAUAAUCUGCAUAAGUGACGGUACCGAAAAAGCAAGCCACGGCUAACUACGUGCCAGCCGCCGCCGUAACAC